rnacentral:rRNA from 1 species
UGGGGAAUAUUGCACAAUGGGCGCAAGCCUGAUGCAGCCAUGCCGCGUGUAUGAAGAAGGCCUUCGGGUUGUAAAGUACUUUCAGCGAGGAGGAAGGCGUUGUGGUUAAUAACCGCAACGAUUGACGUUACUCGCAGAAGAAGCACCGGCUAACUCCGUGCCAGCAGCCGUGGUAAUACGGAGGGUGCAAGCGUUAAUCGGAAUUACUGGGCGUAAAGCGCACGCAGGCGGUCUGUCAAGUCGGAUGUGAAAUCCCCGGGCUCAACCUGGGAACUGCAUCCGAAACUGGCAGGCUAGAGUCUUGUAGAGGGGGGUAGAAUUCCAGGUGUAGCGGUGAAAUGCGUAGAGAUCUGGAGGAAUACCGGUGGCGAAGGCGGCCCCCUGGACAAAGACUGACGCUCAGGUGCGAAAGCGUGGGGAGCAAACA